rnacentral:tRNA from 1 species
GGGAAGGUAGCUCAGUGGUAGAGUGCUUGCCUUGCAUGCCUGAGGCCCUGGGUUCAAUCCCCCAGCACCA